rnacentral:rRNA from 1 species
GGCCCAUCCUCCAAGGCUAAAUACUCCUGACUGACCGAUAGUGAACCAGUACCGUGAGGGAAAGGCGAAAAGAACCCCGGCGAGGGGAGUGAAAAAGAACCUGAAACCGUGUACGUACAAGCAGUGGGAGCACGCUUAGGCGUGUGACUGCGUACCUUUUGUAUAAUGGGUCAGCGACUUAUAUUCUGUAGCAAGGUUAACCGAAUAGGGGAGCCGAAGGGAAACCGAGUCUUAACUGGGCGUUAAGUUGCAGGGUAUAGACCCGAAACCCGGUGAUCUAGCCAUGGGCAGGUUGAAGGUUGGGUAACACUAACUGGAGGACCGAACCGACUAAUGUUGAAAAAUUAGCGGAUGACUUGUGGCUGGGGGUGAAAGGCCAAUCAAACCGGGAGAUAGCUGGUUCUCCCCGAAAGCUAUUUAGGUAGCGCCUCGUGAAUUCAUCUCCGGGGGUAGAGCACUGUUUCGGCAAGGGGGUCAUCCCGACUUACCAACCCGAUGCAAAC